GGCACUAAAUAACUAGUAUAACCCUGCCACAUUUUCUAUGUGCCUGUCCCCAGUCAGUAGCCUGCAAUUCAGUGUUUGUGGUUUGUUGCUGUGUACCACAUUUGUUUUACUAUCAUUAUUUCGUUCAUAAUUUAGCUAGCUAGUUUUUUUCUUUGAAUUGUUUUACCCCCCUAUGUGUCUGUAUGUCACUGUCAUAGCUAUAUAUAGUAUAGGUAACAAUCAGGGUUUCCCCUGGGUCAAUCAUUAUUUUCGCCAUCUCUUUCGCAAAAACAAUAUUUU
rnacentral:lncRNA from 1 species